AGCAUUCUCAGUCACUUUUGAUUUAGUAACUCGGGAUUGUUUAUUUUGAUGUAACCUGCAUUUGACUUUGAAUGUUUCCUUUUUUUCUUGACUUUAUUUGAUAUAAAGAGUGCUGUGAGAUUUAUUUGAUUCGUGUAUAAUUUAUUAAUAUAUUUACAAAUUUGUUUAUAUUUACUGUUAAAUAGUAUUUCACUGAUUUCAGGUUUAUCAAUUGUCCUUUUGACUGAAUAGCUGCUGUAUUGUGCCUGCAAAUAUUUUGCAUGUUUUAUGUCUAAAAUAGGUGAAUUUAUUGCCAGAUCAUUUUUCCUAUAUGUCAGAUCACAUUGUAUCAUUUAUACCUAAAGCGAAAAAUUAACAGCCAAUCCAGGCGAUCGGCAGUGAUCGGUGAUCGGCCUCAUGGAUGAUUGGAAUAGGCAGCAAAAAAAACCUGAUCGGAGCAUCCCUACUUCAAACAGAACAUAUUUUGUGAUAUGGCAAAGUUUAUGACAAACAUUGAGGUUUGCCUUAUUACUAAAAAUAUCAAAAAUAUAGUAAAUGUUUGCCAUACAUCCUUUCAUACAACUGGAAGGAAGUAUGAAUCCUUCCAGUUUCAUACAUUUUCAUAAUGAUAAUGUGCACCACAUUCUGUAUUAAUUUUAUUCUUUUGGUCAAAAAUUUGGGAGAACAAAGUGUCUUCAGGCCAUCCUUAUAAAUAAUAAUAAAAAAUUACAAGUUUCUUUAAAAAGAUGUAAAGUUGACUUGUGACUCCUCUAAAAUAACGCUAGUAUUUUGAUACAGGAAAUUGCAGGCAAUGCCAUCACUACACGUGAAGGAUAGAGUUAGGAAAGAGGUUGUUGCUGGGCAGCCAAAAAGGUAUCCAGGGAAAAGUUCUAAACUCCAUUGCUUAUUUGAAAGCAGAAAAAUCAGCCAAGGUAUCAGAGGAAAAUCCUUAUUUUAGUACCAGAAAGAAGGAAAAAUGACAGCUGCUAAGGAGAGUGUUUAAGACAGGAAGGGCACAGUGUUUGUACCUGGUUCUUCCUUUCACUAAAUGGUUCAUCUCUAGAAUCUGAAUGUUUCCUCCAACUUCAUUGCAGCACACAUGGACAGCAUAGAUAAACAGAUGCGUCCUUCAUAACACACACGUGAAGUUAGCCUCCAUUUAUCACUGACCCAAGUGAUACUGGCUGAAAAUACCCUGAAUGGGCAAAGUAAGAUGACUGAAAAGAACAACACAGAGGACUAUUUAUAUCCAGAAAUAGAAAAUGACUGUUAGUGGCUCAUAGUAUAUGAAUAGGGUCAGAAGAGAUCCCAUUUUAUUUGAUUUUCUGUUAUCUAAAAUGUCCAUUCAUAUGGUCAAUGAAUCAAAUUUCAACAUUUAAAUGCAAUUCUCCAGAUUCAUGAUCAAAUCUAUGUACUGAGAACAAAAAAUGAGCAAGUGGACAGGAGGUUUUUAAAUCAGACAUUUCAUUACUUUAUCCAUCACCUGUUGCUUUAAGCACACCUUGAAAGUGGACACCCCACUGGACUUUAUAAGUCAUUUUCCUCAUGACAUGUAAAGGAGUCGGGUCACAUUUUUUAAUCAAAAUGAUCUCGGAUAUCAAACCAUGCUCAUCUGA